rnacentral:rRNA from 1 species
CCUACGGGAGGCAGCAGUGGGGAAUCUUGCGCAAUGGGCGAAGGCCUGACGCAGCCAUGCCGCGUGAAUGAUGAAGGUCUUAGGAUUGUAAAAAUUCUUUCACCGGGGACGAUAAUGACGGUACCCGGAGAAGAAGCCCCGGCUAACUUCGUGCCAGCAGCCGCGGUAAUACGAAGGGGGGCUAGCGUUGCUCGGAAUUACUGGGCGUAAAGGGAGCGUAGGCGGAUAGUUUAGUCAGAGGUGAAAGCCCAGGGCUCAACCUUGGAAUUGCCUUUGAUACUGGCUAUCUUGAGUAUGGGAGAGGUUAGCGGAACUCCGAGUGUAGAGGUGAAAUUCGUAGAUAUUCGGAAGAACACCAGUGGCGAAGGCGGCUAACUGGCCCAUUACUGACGCUGAGGCUCGAAAGCGUGGGGAGCAAACAGGAUUAGAUACCCUGGUAGUCCACGCCGUAAACGAUGAGUGCUAGUUGUCGGCAUGCAUGCAUGUCGGUGACGCGAGCUACGACAUAAGACACUCCGCCGUCGGGGAGGUACGGUCGCGAGAAGUUAAACGUAACGUAAAGUAAGUUAGACGGUCGUUGAGACGUUGCCGACGGCGACGACGAGGGAGGAGG